rnacentral:rRNA from 1 species
CAUGGAGGGUGAGAAUCCCGUCCGGUUGACCUCAGGAUGCUCUACGUUACCGCACUCUAAGAGUCGAGUUGUUUGGGAUUGCAGCUCAAAAUGGGAGGUAAAUUUCUCCUAAGGCUAAAUACAGGCGAGAGACCGAUAGCGAACAAGUACCGUGAGGGAAAGAUGAAAAGAACUUUGAAAAGAGAGUUAAACAGUACGUGAAAUUGUUGAUAGGGAAACGAUUGAAGUCAGUCAUGCUGGUGAGAAAUCAGCUUACAGGCUACUGUGAGUGCACUUUUUCGCAAGGCAGGUUAACAUCGGUUUUUGUUGCGUCACAAUGAUUGUAGGGAGGUGGCUCCUUCGGGAGUGUUGUAGCCUACUUUAGAUGGCGUGAUGGAGACUGAGGAUUGCAGCGAAUGCCUUUGGCUACGGAUCGUUCUCUGUUUUCUUUCGACUGUAUUUCAGCUUGCUGACAUGUGGUUCGACAAGUUUACAAAAGAAUUAAAUUCGAUAAAUUCGUUAAGGAUGUUGACGUAAUGG